UACGUAGGGGGCAAGCGUUGUCCGGAAUCAUUGGGCGUAAAGCGCGUGUAGGCGGUCCGGUAAGUCCGCUGUGAAAGUCCAGGGCUCAACCCUGGGAUGCCGGUGGAUACUGUCGGGCUAGAGUACGGAAGAGGCGAGUGGAAUUCCUGGUGUAGCGGUGAAAUGCGCAGAUAUCAGGAGGAACACCAAUGGCGAAGGCAGCUCGCUGGGACGGUACUGACGCUGAGACGCGAAAGCGUGGGGGAGCAAACAGG
rnacentral:rRNA from 1 species